UUACGCAAUCUUAUUAUUUUUAAAGCAUGAAACUAGUAUGUUCUAGGUUUAAAUUUGCGUUUAGAUUAUUUGUUAAACUCUUUGUCUCCCGUCAAGGUCCUGAGGAUCCAUAGUUUAAUCUUCUGUUUCUCGAGAGGUGUUUGCUUCCUUAGAUAAGAUCGGAUUUGCUUUUAUGGAUCAUAUCAUAGAAAAUGGUGUUCUAUAAUUAAAAAAUCCAUUAUACUUUUGUUUAUGUGCAAGUUUUUCAUUGUUCUUUAAUGAGAUAUCCAUUAAAGAUAUUUAGGAAGAUUAUCUCGUGAAGAUCAUUAGAACAAGUUCAUUCUACUUCGUAAUGAAUUUGAAGAACAUCAAUGAACAGAUAGAAGCCAAUACAUUUCCCCAAAAGCUCAUUUGGAUCUAGACAUAAAGUUUGAUGUUUUUAUUUAAUAAUGGCAAAUAUAGAAUCGAUGACUGUUUAGGGGAAAAUAUUUUCUUUUAGUGGGUUAAGAAUUUAAUCACAUCAGUUUCAAAAAAGAUUAAAUAUAUCACAUUUAAAAUGUCAAACAAAGAUACAUAAUAUCAUAUAUCAUGUUGAUAAUUUGUAUAUUGUUAAUAGCAUGUUCUCUAAUUCUUAUUAAAGUUACAUACAAAAAUAAAUUUAUCACCUGAAUGUAUAUAUAAAAUGUACAACUAUUAUGUCAAUACUCAAAAAGUAUUAAAUUAUAUCAUAGUUAUAAUUUGACUAAAUAUUAUAACUGAUUAUAAAUUUUGCUUUGUAAUAUUAAUAAUGUGCUAUCUAAUACUUAUUAAAUUUAGACAGAACAUUUUGAAAUCAGUUAAUAUACUAAUAAAUAAUAUUAUAAGGUGUAAUAAAUUUAUAAUUAAUUAUACAAUUACUAGGAACUUAGAAUUUUAGAUAAAAUUUAUAUUCUCUUUAUAUUAUUAGCAACUAGGCAAUUGCCCGCACCCUGUGCGGUAACUAUAUAUCAAACAAUAUUAAAUCUAACAUAUUCGUUGUAUUUUUUUAUGGGAAAAUUCCGUAAAAAUACACAGACUGAAUUUCUUUUGCUGAAAAAAUACAUGAACUUUUUUGGCUUCCCAAAAAAUACACAAACUAAUUUUGAUUGUCCAUAAAAUACACUAACUUUUGAAUUUUGAAAGUUUCACACCUCGAUUUUAACGGUGUAAACAGUGACUAACAGAAUAGUAAGACGCCGUUAGACGCUGUUAACUCUGAUUAAAAAGUUCAUGUAUUUUAUGGACAACCAAAAUUAGUUCGUGUAUUUUUCGAGAAGCUUAAAAAGUUAGUGUAAAAAACGGCCCAAACCCGACCCAAAGACCUGAAAAAAAACACAUUCUCUAUCACAUGAUACAGGUCCGAAAUUUUAUAUUUAUAAACUUUCGGUUUGAUUUUGGACCGAAUAUUUCCGGGUCAGUUCCGAUUCAAGUUUUUGAAUCCGGCUAAAAUGUCAAGAUUAGGUCUAGAUAUUUUAGCGAGAUUCAAAAACUUGGAUCGAAACUGAUCCGAAAAUAUUCGGUCCAAAACCAAACCGAAAGUUUACAAAUAUAAAAUUUUGGAUCUGUAUUGGGUCCAGAUAUUUAGCAUCUGAAUAGGAUAUGAAAUAUCCAAACUCCAUUUGAAAAUUCCUUAAAAAUACACAUACUAAAUUUCCUUUGCUGAAAAAAUACACGAACUUUUUAGGCUUCCCGAAAAAUACACGAACUAAUUUUGGUUGUCCAUAAAAUACAUGAACUUUUUAAUCAGAGUUAACGGCGUCUUACUAUUCUGUUAGUCACUGUUUACACCGUUAAAAUCGAGGUGUGAAACCUUCAAAAUUCAAAAGUUCAUGUAUUUUAUGGACAAUCAAAAUUAGUUUGUGUAUUAUUUGGGAAGCCAAAAAAGUUCGUGUAUUUUUUCAGCAAAAGAAAUUCAGUCUGUGUAUUUUUAAGGAAUUUUUCCUUUUUUUAUUUAUCAGGGUGUAUAAUUAAUGUAUAAUAUUUUUAAUGUAUUAUUAUUUAAAACUAAGCUUUAGAAUACGGACCACAUUAGAGCAUCUCAUAUUAUAUUCAUUGUGGGCUUUUCAUUAUCAAGAUAUUGGAGAAAUUAGCCCAAGGGACAGAUUCUUUUUAUUUGUUGUUUCUCUUAUCUUUCUUGUUCCUUCUUUUUUGUCUUUUGGUCUCUUUCUCGAGUUCUUCUCUUUCUCUCUCUUUUUCUGAUUAAUUUUUUUUUCUGGAAAUAUUUCAUUACUUUGUUUGUGUCUCUUGUCUCUGCCUUUUUGCUCAAGAAUUGUUGCUGCUGUAAACUCAUGAUCUAUCCAUCUUUCAGUUAUUUGUAAUGUAAGCAUUCAUCCGUCGAGGCCACCACUGCCGACCCGUGACGGCCACCACCACUUCCUAAAGAAAUAUUAGUUAAAAGAUAUUCACUCUUUAUUGUAAUUUUUUAUUAAAUUAUUUAUAUGCCAAUUUCUUAUGUAAUUUAAUUUUUUUAGUUGAAGAGUUCAUUUUUGUAUAUGGUUGUCACAUUUGUACUUUUGUGUUUCACUUUUUACCUUUCUCCAAUUCAAAGCUGAAUUCAGAACAUGCAAGGAAAACCAAUUUCUAUUUGCCUCUA